AGAGAGCAGAACGAUGCCGGCUGGCAAGCAGAUGGCUGCUCCGUUUAUUGGUUUAUUCGUCGGUAACGGCAACGUGUCCCGCCCGAACUAAGUUUUCUUUGUGUUGUCUAGAAUGAAUACGACCAUGGUGAAUAUCUACUGUACCCAAUCACCUCAGGAAAGAGCAUCGUACGUGCCUUGGAUACGUGUCAAUCAUCAAGAGUCAAGAGAAUCAUUGAUAGAGAUUCAUAUUAAUGAAAGACAUUUAUUCAUUUUAUUUUAAAAACCCUCACAUUGGACCCUUUCCUCUUAUUGGAAUUCAAUAAUUUAUGUGAGCAAAGAGUAACAAGUAACGAGGAAUAUUACAUUAAAGAUAAUAAAAAAAUGUGUAAAUGGCAAACAAAAAGCUCAAUGGUAGAAAAUCCUUUAAGCCAAGUAAAAUGAGAACUUUGAAGAGGGUAAGAAGAGUCAAAAGUCAAGUGCCUGUUGAGUAAAAGGUCUUGUUGUCAUUUGGCAAAGAAUUUUGACACUUCAGCAUCCAUGUUAACGAGUUAACGUAGGCGUCCUAAGCCGAUUAAGAGUGGAUACACUUCUUGUACAACUUUGUUCAUGCAUUAAAAGACAAACAGAUUUAUGCUUAAUAUAACCAUCUGACAAAUACGUUAACAAGAUGAAGGUGUAUAAUUUCCCGUACGAAAAGCAAACGACAAAUUUAGGAUACCAAGAAAGUAAUGAAACAGUGAAGAUAAUUAUAUACUUUUCGAUAUGACGUAAAGAUGAGAAUUUAAGGAGUAUAACUCAAAACUAUCUGCGAUAUCAUCAAAAAUUUAUUCAAAAGAUGAUUUUCUCUGCAUAAAAAAGAGAUUUGUAUUUCAUUUACGUUGAUUACAGCAAUUAUUAAACUUCAUUUAAUACUUUUCUAUAAAAAUAAAAAGUACAUAAGUUUCAUUACACAGUAAAUAAAUUCUCCAGGAACGAAUUUAUUAAUCUGCAAUGCGUAAAAGUAAUUACUGUGAAUCAAUAUAGAAAGUUAGCUUGAACAAAUUAUAUAAAUUCCUACUGCUUCCAUUUAUUUUAA